GGAGAAUUUGGUUUUGGUUUUGAUUUGGCUUGUGCUAGCGAUAACACAUGAUAGUUUUGUUUGAAACUGUAAGUUAUGUAUCUAUCUUUUUGGCUCUUAAAGAGGUUAGUCAGAUGGGUUUGUUAUUAUCAAAGAUAUUGAUGACAGAAAUAUUUACAACAUCAGUGUAGAAUAUUAAUCAAAAAGGGAACUUUGUAUUAGGCAGGGCUAAUAAAGGUAGCUAAAUUUGUGCCAGCAGCUGCGGUUAAACAAUAAGCUUAAGUCAAAUAAAAGCGGUAAAAAAUAGUUAUGUGAUUAAAAGUCAUUUUUUGUAUUAUAUAAAGGUAGAAUUUUAAUAUAAAUGCAGAGUUAAUUUGUGGCUAUGUGCAGAAUCUGUGAAGCUUUUAGUUAAAACUGGGAUUAGAUACCCCAUUAUUAGGAAAUUAAAUUUGUUUACCUGGGGAUUACGAGCUAUAGCUUAAAAUCCAAAAGACUUGGCGGUACUUUAAUUUCCGUCCAGGGGAACCUGUCCUUUAAAUCGAUAAUCCACGUUAAACCUUACUUUACUUAUUUAUUUAAUUAGCUUGUAUACUGCCGUCAUCAGCUUACGCUUGAGGCUAAUAAAGUUGGCUUUUUAAUUUAGUAUUUUUAUGUCAGGUCAAAGUGCAGCUUAUGGUAAAGUAGUGAUGGGUUACAAUUUAAAUUCGAAUUUCUGUAGUUUUAUUGCAAUAAAGAAUGAACGGUGGACUUGGAAGUAAUAUUUAUUUAGAAUAAUAAUAUGAAUGUGGUUACUAAAGUGUGUACAUAUCGCCCGUCGCUCUCUUAAAAAUAAGAGAUAAGUCGUAACAUAGUAGGGGUAGCUGAAGCUGUUCCUUAGGAUAUA